rnacentral:ncRNA from 1 species
AUUAAACCGUUGAAGAGAAUAGUAACAUUUAGUGGUUUUUAGAGAAUCAGUGGUUGGUGUAAACUGAUAGCUGCUAAGUUGUGAAUCCGCCUCGGAGGGAUUGCGAUGAGCAAUACGGUGUGAUUACCGUUAUAUUUUAAUUAAGUUGGAUCACUUGUUUUGUGAUUAACUAGGGUGGUAACGCGGAGUCUUUCGUCCCUAAU